UCAGAAGAGGGGCGUAAGCAGAGUAUAAUGGGAUCAAGUGAGCAGCCUUAAACAUGCGGAAGAGAUGCUGAGUGGAUCUGGGCAGGCAAAAGAGAUAGCGAGAAGGGGGGUAGAAGAAGAGGUCAGCUGCUCGGUCCAGAGUAGGCUUGCAAGACUGCAUUCUCUAGAUGUCCCAGUAGAUAACCUCAAGGAGCUCGGCACCGGGAAGCGAUUGCCCUUAUCAAACCUUCUGGGGCAGGCACAGAAGUGAGUUUGCCCACAUUCCAUAUUAAUGGUAAACAGUUUGCUGUUUGAUCAUAUAGCCUCAGUGGAAUGCUGAGUUGGUCACAUCCCACAGGCCUUUGGCUCCCUGCAAGUUCCUGUCCCUGAAAGGGUCUGGAUCUUGGUGGCUUUUUGUUUCCAGCUGUAGCUUCCAUGGGCUGUGGUGGAUGUUUUCAGCCCACUCCACUUGCUUGAGUAAGCUUGAGUGGGGUUCUAUGUCAUGCAACUAAAAGAAGUGUGAUUAAAACAGACAAAAUGGAGAUCCAGACUAC
rnacentral:lncRNA from 1 species